rnacentral:lncRNA from 1 species
CCUACCCUGCCUGGGAAGUAAAAGGCCUUGCCCUAAAUCCCAGGCUCCUAAUCCCCACCCCUAGCCUAGUUCCCUGUCACCUCCUCUAGGCCAAAUGAGAGCAGUCGCACAUAACCCAAGCCCCCAUUAAACACACUCCAGGAGUCUGGAGUCGGGCCAGAGCAAACACCUGGUGGAGUGAGGCAAGCAGGUGGGGAGGGGAGGAGCAAAGCAGGUUAAACCUGUCCUGGACCAGGCACCACCCUCAGACAGGUGGGGGAGGUUCACACCUGCCCGAGGGCCAAAAGGCCCAUGGUCAAUGGCAGCCCCGCCCCUUGGUCCGACCAACCCAGGAACAGAGCCACCAAGGACAGAGCUUCAUACUUGGCCACUCGCAGCAGCCUGAGCUUUGACCCACACCCCAUCGACCAACUGGCACAGAACUGUUUGCUCGUAGAGGGGGGUGGGUGGCACUCUGAAGGCUAUCCAGCACGAUCCGGCCCUUUCCCUUGGCAAUUCUGUGACACUUUCCAAUCUAAGGCCGACAGAGCAAGGCAACCAGAUUUUUUUCUACAGCACCCUCCCAGGUGAGCAGUGGGCCUGGAGCCCUUCUGUAACCUGGCAUCUGUAGGUCUUCUCAUUAAGAACGAGAGUCAGAAGAGGAAAGGACUUAACACUCAUUACAACUCAGUCAUGGGGUGAGUGAGCAAUGCAAACAGGGAAAACUCACUCCCACUUGGCCAGGGUGCGGGGUGGGUAUGGGAGGGGGCAUGCGCCUAGGCCUUUGCGCUCAUUGGGCAGGUAGCCCCUAGAUAAUGUUCGGACAGCACCCACUCACCCACGCCUGGCCAGUCAGCUGGGACAGGCAGGCCUAAACCAGCCGGCCUCACCUAGAGGCGUCUGCCCCCGAGGCAGACACCGCCCGACGCCCUCGCUUCAGCGGUUCCCAGGAGAGCAGGCGGCAGAGACCAAGUGAUCUACCGCUAAACCUGAGCCCACCUCGACCCUAUUUCUGACGUGUCCUCUGCUAGCGGGGGGAGUGGGAGGGAGAGGAAGGGGCCUCGGGGGGAUGGAUCCCUUAGCCGCUAUUGUCAACUUCCUCGGCAGGAGUGGAUGUCUGUAAAGGUUGGAAGGUAAGGUGGCUCUGGGAAUGGCCUAGCACGCUUCCACGCGGUAGUCGCUCAAAAGUUUCAAACAAGACCUUGUCCUACUGGCCGUGCCACUGGGUCGCGUCGCUCCAGGUCUCCCCUCCUCCCCUCCCCCUCGAAGUAGUGUCCCUGCCACUCCGCAGUUCCACCACCCACGCGGGCCCCCACGCUCACCUGUUGCAGCACUUUGUCCAGGGACUCCGCCCGCGCUAGGCUGUCUGCGCUGAGUCCACUCGCCUCGCGGCAUUGUGGACUCAGGGCAGCCGCCUCGGCGCGAACUAGCGACUUGUGCAGCGUCCCCACCUAAAAGCACCGAGGGUAACCCCAUGAGCCGCUGUGCCUCAACAGGCUCUGAAGCGUCCCGAGGUCCCCUCUUUCCCACCCUACCUGUCGGCUGCGCGGCUCCACCACUUGCCAAACUAGGAGGAUUAAGUCGGUCUCGUCCGAGCCUAGGUCCGGCCCCAGCGCACCGGCAGUGGCCCCGAACAAAACCACCAGCGACUGAGCAGGCACUCUGAGUCCUCCGCAAAAGAAUGUGCAGGAUCAGAGGCCUCUUUCCAUUCUGCAAGGGUCACGCAAGACCCAUGGAAUUCAACAGGAGGCAAUCUAGGGACUAUAAAAGGUCGCGACGUCUGGCUUGAGGUUAAUGGAAGUUACAAAGGGUCAAAAGCCGACAGUGAGCGCUACCAGGCCGCCCUGUGGGCUCAGGAUAGUUUCCCACCUACUCGACUGUAAUUAGUACUCUGGCGAGAGUAAAAAGGUACUGGCGUGGGACUUAGAAUACAGGAUGCCACCGGCUGAAGAAGAACCUUGUGUGUUUGGAAAAGCGGGCUGCUUCCUAUCGGUCUUGGAUAAAAGGCAACCCAGAGCCCGGGUGCAUCCCUAACUCAUGCCCAAGGAAGGUCGUGCGGAGCCAGAGGACCUAGAAUGUAUAGUGCGCCUUCUGGGUUUGUCCACACAAUAGCGCAGGAACACAGCGACCCAAUAUAGUGAGAAGUGGCCGCAGCGCACACCCUGAGACCCUUCACCAGGCGGCCCACCCGGAGCCUGCCUACUCAGCCCCGCUACCACGAUAAGCCUGGAAUGUCAAAUAUUUGUUCUAGGAACCCAGUGAAACCUUGAGGUAAAGCCCCUCCCCUCCUCCCUCCCAUUCCGGAGCGCGCCUGCGUCAGUCCAGGCUUUCCGGUAAGGACACUCCCUUCCAACUAGUUCCUUCUCGACACCCCUGCAACCCAUCGUCCUGACUAUUUAAACUUCACAAGGUCUUCGCUACAGGCUCAGGUUCAGUGAGGCAGAGUCUUGGCUUCCCUACCCAGUUAUCCCAGAGCUACUGGUAUCGGUUUCUACCCACAACCUCCGAGCAAGGCUCCCCUUUCAACCUGUAGACCUCGCCUCCCGAUUCUCGGGAGAUCUUGCUGACUGUGGAAUCCCUGGCUGUUCCGAACCCCCUGGAAAGAAGCGGCUGUUCCCAGGUUUCUGCAAGGUAACGAAUCUGAAGAGUCAACAGAAUUGAGCGGCUCCAUUCAUUCGACUCUGGUUCUCUCAACCAGGCAUUC